CCCGAGUUGUAAUUUGUAGAGGAUGUCUUCAGCAAAAGACUUUAGGCCUAAGUUCCCUGGNACGGGAUAUCAUGGAGGGUGAGAAUCCCGUAUAUGGUUUAUUGUCUCUUGCACCAUGAAGCUCCUUCAACGAGUCGAGUUGUUUGGGAAUGCAGCUCAAAACAGGAGGUAAAUUCCUUCCAAAGCUAAAUAUUAGCCAGAGACCGAUAGCGAACAAGUAGAGUGAUCGAAAGAUGAAAAGCACUUUGGAAAGAGAGUUAAAAAGUAUGUGAAAUUGUUGAAAGGGAAGCGCUUGCAACCAGACUUUUCNCUGUAGGUUAGAUCAUCUAGGCUCUUUGGCCUAGUGUACUCUACCUAUAUUGUGUGCCAGCAUCGGUUUGUUAGUCGAGAGAAAAAGGUAGUGUGUUGUCAAUUCCUUCGGGUUUUUGGCAUGCAUCUACAGGUACAUCUUGAACCCAGACCGAGGACAGCGCUUUUUGCACGGAUGCUGGUGUAAUGGUUGUAAGCGGCCCGUCUUGAAACACGGACCAAGGAGUCCAACAUCCAUGCGAGUGUUUGGAUGUCAAGUCCGUACGCGCAAUGAAAGUGAACGCAAAUGGGAACUCAUGUGUGCACCAUUGACCGAUCUUGAUCUUUUGAAAUGGAUUUGAGUAAGAGCAUGGCUGUUGGGACCCGAAAGAUGGUGAACUAUGCCCUGCGUAGGCUGAAGCCAGGGGAAAC
rnacentral:rRNA from 1 species